UCCCUAAAAAAACACUAGACCACUCCUUCCCCCAAAUCCACGAACCCUAACCCAUUGCAGCCGCCGCCCCAAGCAUCAGAUCCCAUAGCCGCUGCCUCCGCCGCCCCCAACCGCCACCGCCGUCCCCAACCACCGCGGCCACCGCCGCCGCCGUCCCCAACCACCGCCGCCGCCAUAGUCCCCAUCACACUACGGCGACCUCUACCCGGAGCACGCCGUCGCCCCACACCAUCGCAACUCCUCCGUCGCCCCAACCACACCCCACUGUCGUGCCCUCCACCAGGACCCCCACGAGCACCCAACAAAGUCAGAGCUCGAGCCAUCGCCCCCAAGCACUUCGCCGGCGACCAUCGCUUCAGAGCCGUGCCGUCAACCCCAAGCACUCAGCCAGCGACCAUCCUCCUCCGCCGUCGUCCCUCACCACCAUCCUCCUCUGCAGACCUCCUCCCCUGAGCAGGCCCUCCGCACAAGCUCAACCGAGCACCAAGGAGGUCCUCAAGUGGCACCGCCUCCUUAUUGAGCUCCUCUGCAGCUGCACCUUCUCCAUCGGUGACACCUCCACUAGAGAUUGGUGUACUGUUCAAGCAAGUUUUUGUUGCUAAUUUUUGCUUGUAUCAAUCUGUUGGGAGUCCUCUUGUACUUAAAAUAGAUGCAAUUUAUCUUGCUAAUUUUUUGCUUGUACUGAUCUGUUGGGAGUGUUUAUGUACUUUAUAGUUACUCAAAUAAGCAUUUUGCAUUAUUAGUGAAGAAACAACACCAUGAGACAACCCACGGACCAAGGAGCGCCCUUAUAUCAUCGCCGCAUGAUGGCCUAUGCCCGCACACGUCCGCAGCCCACAGCCCACAAUUGGGUCGUACGCUUAGUAUGGCCUCUCCACGCCUGGCUAUCCAUUACCUGUGCGCAGCCACGCAGUGGGUUCCAAUCCCCACUCCUCGCCGCCAAAUGGGAGCGGCCGAUCGAGGCGACGCCAUGCGCAGGAGUGGCCAUGUCAAUCGAUGCGACUACGCCGGCUUCGUGAAUCGAUCUCGGCAAGAACAUGAUCUACUUUGUCCAAUCGUUCGUCUACACUUCAGAUUGCAGCCAAUUCUAGUUCUGUCUGGGAUAUUCAAUCUUAGUAUCUGAUGACGUAUUUUGGAGUUUCGAAAUGGAAGACAUCAUUUUCAAGCAAUUAUAGUGAAACUGGUCAAGAAUGGACAAGAGUUGGAUGGAUAAAGCUAGAAACACACAAGCAUAUAUUGACGGGGAUAUCGGCAUGAAGAUGGACAUGAAGGUGGAUGUGGACAUGAAGGGGAAUAUGGUGGUGGAUAUGAAGCAUUUGGAAGUGGACAAGCCCAUGGCGAAAGCAGGAAUGCAACCACAAGCAAGCUGAGGAGGUAAUAUCCAUGUUUCCAAGAAUUUUUCAUGCCCUCAACUCUGUAAAUAUUUCCUAUAGUACAGUACUGAAGUUUACAAAAUGUUGUUCCUGGUUGCGUACCUUUUACAAAAUAUUUCAUAUAGGAAAUAGUACAGUACUGAUGUUUUUCAGUACUAUAUAAAUGUAUUUCAGUAUUGUACUAUAGGAAAUAUUUCAGUACUUACGAGUUUAAAUGACAACCAGAUUCUAAACUCCACUAGUGUUACAGUACUGAAGCAACCUGUACUCUGGAAAGUACCGAAGUUUACAAAAUGAAAAUUUUCAUGCCCUCAACUCUGUAUAGUACUGAUUUUUUGGCAGAUUCUAAUUUGUUAAUAUCUAGCUAUACUGGCAGCUCCUUGCUCUUCCUACUCUGGCAAUUUUUGCCUGGUUGCGUUGUUUUUCGUGUGACAAAACAGAUUCUUUAUGAUGGGUAUUGCUGCUGCAUUUCCUGAAGUAUUUGGAUUGACGUGUCCCCGCCCCUGCCUAUUUGUACUUCUCAGUGUACUAUGUUUACUAUAGAUGUUGACGGAGAUUAGGAAGAUCUUGAAGCCACUGAUGAUUUGGAAAACCUAUGAUUAAGUUGCUGAGUGAUUAUGUAAUAUGCUUUGUUUGUUGAACCUGGACACUUGCUCUGCUCAUUUUGCUGGUUAAGCCACUAUAUGCUCAUUUUGGUUGUGGCACCCCUAGAAACAUAUGUACUUUCUCCUUUUGUGGCAAUACUUCAGUUUGGUUGUGGCACAUUUAACAUAUAUGUACUGUACCUUUUGUGGCAGAACCUCCUUAUGUAUAUAUGGAUAUUAUGUUUAUCUGA